UUUUUAGUGUAAGUAUGUCCCAUACCUUAUUUGGGACAUACUUAUACUAAAA
rfam:Equus caballus chromosome 3, whole genome shotgun sequence.